AUUGAAUAGUUUAGUGAG
rnacentral:miRNA from 1 species